AUUGAACGCUGGCGGCAGGCUUAACACAUGCAAGUCGAACGGUAACGGGCCUUCGGGUGCCGACGAGUGGCGAACGGGUGAGUAAUGUAUCGGAACGUACCUUUCAGUGGGGGAUAACGUAGCGAAAGUUACGCUAAUACCGCAUAUUCUGUGAGCAGGAAAGCAGGGGAUCGCAAGACCUUGCGCUGACUGAGCGGCCGAUAUCAGAUUAGCUAGUUGGUGAGGUAAAGGCUCACCAAGGCGACGAUCUGUAGCGGGUCUGAGAGGAUGAUCCGCCACACUGGAACUGAGACACGGUCCAGACUCCUACGGGAGGCAGCAGUGGGGAAUUUUGGACAAUGGGGGCAACCCUGAUCCAGCCAUGCCGCGUGAGUGAAGAAGGCCUUCGGGUUGUAAAGCUCUUUCGGCCGGGAAGAAAUCGUAUCAGCUAAUACCUGGUGCGGAUGACGGUACCGGCAUAAGAAGCACCGGCUAACUACGUGCCAGCCGCCGCCGUAACAC
rnacentral:rRNA from 1 species